rnacentral:rRNA from 1 species
CUACGGGAGGCAGCAGUGGGGAAUAUUGCACAAUGGGCGCAAGCCUGAUGCAGCCAUGCCGCGUGUAUGAAGAAGGCCUUCGGGUUGUAAAGUACUUUCAGCGGGGAGGAAGGGAGUAAAGUUAAUACCUUUGCUCAUUGACGUUACCCGCAGAAGAAGCACCGGCUAACUCCGUGCCAGCAGCCGCGGUAAUACGGAGGGUGCAAGCGUUAAUCGGAAUUACUGGGCGUAAAGCACACGCAGGCGGUUUGUUAAGUCAGAUGUGAAAUCCCCGGGCUCAACCGGGGAACUGCAUCUGAUACUGGCGAGCUUGAGUCUCGUAGAGGGGGGUAGAAUUCCAGGUGUAGCGGUGAGAUGCGUAGAGAUCUGGAGGAAUACCGGUGGCGAAGGCGGCCCCCUGGACGAAGACUGACGCUCAGGUGCGAAAGCGUGGGGAGCGAACAGGAUUAGAUACCCCAGUAGUC